GAAAACUGUUAGAGAUAACAGGUCCGCAAGGGCUUUGCACAGGUGGUGCAUGGCUGUCGUCAGCUCGUGUCGUGAGAUGUUGGGUUAAGUCCCGCAACGAGCGCAACCCUCGUCUUGUGUUGCCAACAGGUAAUGCUGGGAACUCACAAGAGACUGCCGGGGUCAACUCGGAGGAAGGUGGGGACGACGUCAAGUCAUCAUGCCCCUUAUGUCUAGGGCUGCACGCAUGCUACAAUGGCCGAUACAAAGGGCUGCGAUACCGCAAGGUGGAGCGAAUCCCAUAAAGUCGGUCUCAGUUCGGAUUGAGGUCUGCAACUCGACCUCAUGAAGUUGGAGUUGCUAGUAAUCGCGGAUCAGCAACGCCGCGGUGAAUACGUUCCCGGGCCUUGUACACACCGCCCGUCACGUCACGAAAGUCGGUAACAC
rnacentral:rRNA from 1 species